UUUCUCAAGGGAGCACUGAAAUUUAAUUAGCAGGCAUCCCUCCCCCUUGUUGUUCAGUCAGAAAGGAUGGCGCGGUGUUCACGCUUUUUCCAAAAUAAAAAAUUGCUGUUGUUUACCGGAGUUUUUUUUUUGUUUGGCGAGCGGGAACAGGGAGAUUAUUUCCUGCAGCGCUGGAGAACAAGGAGCGCACAUUUCUGAGCCAGGGAACCAAAACAACAAUGGAGAGAUUUAAGCAAUACCUUGCUGCUAUGGAAGUAGAGUUAUCCCAGUAUCCACUGCAAGGUGCGAAAGUCCUUCAUCAACACAGAACAUCUUAAACUGGAUGAGCGAGUG